UACGUAGGGUGCAAGCGUUGUCCGGAAUUAUUGGGCGUAAAGCGCUCGUAGGCGGUCUGUCGCGUCUGCUGUGAAAACUCAGGGCUUAACCCUGAGCUUGCAGUGGGUACGGGCAGACUAGAGUGCGGUAGGGGAGACUGGAAUUCCUGGUGUAGCGGUGAAAUGCGCAGAUAUCAGGAGGAACACCGGUGGCGAAGGCGGGUCUCUGGGCCGUAACUGACGCUGAGGAGCGAAAGCAUGGGGAGCGGACAGG
rnacentral:rRNA from 1 species